AAGAAAGUAAUCAGGGAGUAAACUCAUUUCUCGAACGAUAUUUUAAAUUAUAUUUUCACCACUAAAACGCAUGAGACUUAAAGUUUUCAAAAAUGUUUUCAUUUUUGAUGAGACGCUAAAUAAAACAACUUUAAUCGCCGGCAAACGAAAACCCGCGAUCUCCCGUAAAUCCCAAACACGACCCGUAUAAUCAAAAGUAUGCAAAGAAAGUACCCAGGGAGUAAACUCAAUUCCCGAACGAUUUUUUAAAUUAUUUUUUCACCACUAAGACUUGUAGUUUUCAAAAAUGUUUUCAUUUUUGAUGAGACUCUAAAUAAAAGAAGUUUAAUCGCCGGCAAACGAAAACCUGCGAUUUCCCGUAAAUCCCGUACUCGGCCCGUAUAGUCAAAAGUAUACAAAGAAAGUACCCAGGGAGUAAACUUAUUUCCCGAACGAUUUUUUAAAUUAUUUUUUCACCACUAAAACGCAUGAGACUUGUAGUUUUCAAAAAUGUUUUCAUUUUUGAGAAGACGCUAAAUAAAGGAAGUUUAAUCGCCGGCAAACAAAAACCCGCGAUUUCCCGUAAAUCCCGUAGUCGGCCCGUAUAGUCAAAAGUAUACAAAGAAAGUAAUCAGGGGGUAAACUCAUUUCCCGAACGAUAUUUUAAAUUAUAUUUUCACCACUAAAACGCAUGAGACUUAAAGUUUUCAAAAAUGUUUUCAUUUUGGAUGAGACGCUAAAUAAAAGAAGUUUAAUCGCCGGCAAACGAAAACCCGCGAUCUCCCGUAAAUCCAACACGACCCGUAUAAUCAAAAGUAUGCAAAGAAAAUACCCAGGGAGUAAACUCAUUUCCCGAACGAUUUUUUAAAUUAUUUUUUCACCACUAAAACGCAUGAGACUUGUAGUUUUCAAAAAUGUUUUCAUUUUUGAUGAGACGCUGAAUAAAAGAAGUUUAAUCGUCGGCAAACGAAAACCCGCGAUUUCCCGUAAAUCCGGUAAUCGGCCCGUAUAGUCAAAAGUAUACAAAUAAAGUACUCAAUGAGUAAACUCAUUUCCCGAACGAUUUUUUAAAUUAUUUUUUCACCACUAAAACGCAUGAGACUUGUAGUUUUCAAAAAUGUUUUCAUUUUUGAUGAGACGCUAAAUAAAAGAAGUUUAAUCGCCGCCAAACGAAAACCCGCGAUUUCCCGUAAAUCCCGUACUCGGCCCGUAUAGUCAAAAGUAUACAAAGAAAGUACCCAGGGAGUAAACUCAUUUCCCGAACGAUUUUUUAAAUUAUUUUUUCACCAAUAAAACGCAUGAGACUUGUAGUUUUCAAAAAUGUUUUCAUUUUUGAUGAGACGCUAAAUAAAAGAAGUUUAAUCGCCGGCAAACGAAAACCUGCGAUUUCCCGUAAAUCCCGUACUCGGCCCGUAUAGUCAAAAGUAUACAAAGAAAGUACCCAGGGAGUAAACUCAUUUCCCGAACGAUUUUUUAAAUUAUUUUUUCACCACUAAAACGCAUGAGACUUGUAGUUUUCAAAAAUGUUUUCAUUUUUGAGAAGACGCUAAAUAAAGGAAGUUUAAUCGCCGGCAAACAAAAACCCGCGAUUUCCCGUAAAUCCCGUAGUCGGCCCGUAUAGUCAAAAGUAUACAAAGAAAGUAAUCAGGGAGUAAACUCAUUUCCCGAACGAUAUUUUAAAUUAUAUUUUCACCACUAAAACGCAUGAGACUUAAAGUUUUCAAAAAUGGUUUCAUUUUUGAUGAGACGCUAAAUAAAACAACUUUAAUCGCCGGCAAACGAAAACCCGCGAUCUCCCGUAAAUCCCAAACACGACCCGUAUAAUCAAAAGUAUGCAAAGAAAGUACCCAGGGAGUAAACUCAAUUCCCGAACGAUUUUUUAAAUUAUUUUUUCACCACUAAGACUUGUAGUUUUCAAAAAUGUUUUCAUUUUUGAUGAGACUCUAAAUAAAAGAAGUUUAAUCGCCGGCAAACGAAAACCUGCGAUUUCCCGUAAAUCCCGUACUCGGCCCGUAUAGUCAAAAGUAUACAAAGAAAGUACCUAGGGAGUAAACUUAUUUCCCGAACGAUUUUUUAAAUUAUUUUUUCACCACUAAAACGCAUGAGACUUGUAGUUUUCAAAAAUGUUUUCAUUUUUGAGAAGACGCUAAAUAAAGGAAGUUGAAUCGCCGGCAAACAAAAACCCGCGAUUUCCCGUAAAUCCCGUAGUCGGCCCGUAUAGUCAAAAGUAUACAAAGAAAGUAAUCAGGGAGUAAACUCAUUUCCCGAACGAUAUUUUAAAUUAUAUUUUCACCACUAAAACGCAUGAGACUUAAAGUUUUCAAAAAUGUUUUCAUUUUUGAUGAGACGCUAAAUAAAACAACUUUAAUCGCCGGCAAACGAAAACCCGCGAUUUCCCGUAAAUCCCGUACUCGGCCCGUAUUGUCAAAAGUACACAAAAAAAGUACCCAGGGAGUAAACUGAUUUUCCGAAUGAUUUUUUAAAUUAUUUUUUCACCACUAAAACGCAUGAGACUUGUAGUUUUCAAAAAUGUUUUCAUUUUUGAUGAGACGCUAAAUAAAAGAAGUUUAAUCGCCGGCAAACGAAAACCCGCGAUUUUCCGUAAAUCCCGUACUCGGCCCGUAUAGUCAAAAGUAUACAAAAAAAGUACCCAGUGAGUAAACUCAUUUCCCGAACGAUUUUUUAAAUUAUUUUUUCACCACAAAAACGCAUGGGACUUGUAGUUUUCAAAAAUGUUUUUAUUUUUGAUGAGACGCUAAAUAAAAGAAGUUUAAUCGCCGGCAAACGAAAACCCGCGAUUUCCCGUAAAUCCCGUACUCGGCCCGUAUAGUCAAAAGUAUACCAAAAAAGUACCCAGUGAGUAAACUCAUUUCCCGAACGGUUUUUUUAAAUUAUUUUUUCACCACAUAAACGCAUGGGACUUGUAGGUUUCAAAAAUAUUUUCAUUUUUGAUGAAACGCUAAAUUAAAGAAGUUUAAUCGCCGGCAAACGAAAACCUGCGAUUUCCCGUAAAUCCCGUACUCGGCCCGCACAGUCAAGAGUACACAAAAAAAUACCCAGGGUGUAAAAUCAUUUCCCGAAUGAUUUUUUAAAUUAUUUUUUCACCACUAAAACGCAUGAGACUUGUAGUCUUCCAAAAUGCUUUCAUUUUUGAUGAGACGCUGAAUAAAAGAAGUUUAAUCGCCGGCAAACGAAAACCCGCGAUUUCCUGUAAAUCCCGUACUCGGCCCGCAUAGUCAAAAGUAUACAAAGAAAGUACCCAGGGAGUAAACUCAUUUCCCAAACGAUUUUUUAAAUUAUUUUUUCACCACUUAAACGCAUGAGACUUGUAGUUUUCAAAAAUGUUUUCAUUUUUGAUAAAACGCUAAAUUAAAGAAGUUUAAUCGCCGGCAAACGAAAACCCGCGAUUUUCCGUAAAUCCCGUACUCGGCCCGCACAGUCAAAAGUACACAAAAAAAGUACCCAGGGAGUAAAAUCAUUUCCCGAAUGAUUUUUUAAAUUAUUUUUUCACCACUAAAACGCAUGAGACUUGUAGUCUUCCAAAAUGCUUUCAUUUUUGAUGAGACGCUGAAUAAAAGAAGUUUAAUUGCCGGCAAACGAAAACCCGCGAUUUCCUGUAAAUCCCGGGCUUGGCCCCUAUAGUCGAAUGUAUACAAAGAAAGUACCCUGUGAGUAAACUUAUUUCCCGAACGAUUUUUUAAAUUAUUUUUUCACCACAAAAACGCAUGGGACUUGUAGUUUUCAAAAAUGUUUUCAUUUUUGAUGAGACGCUAAAUAAAAGAAGUUUAAUCUCCGGCAAACGAAAACCCGCGAUUUCCCGUAAAUCCCGUACUCGGCCCGUAUAGUCGAAUGUAUAUAAAGAAAGUACCCAGGGAGUAAACUCAUUUCCCAAACGAUUUUUUAAAUUAUUUUUUCACCACAAAAACGCAUGGGACUUGUAGUUUUCAAAAAUGUUUUCAUUUUUGAUGAGACGCUAAAUAAAAGAAGUUUAAUCGCCGGGAAACGAAAACCCGCGAUUUCCCGUAAAUCCCGUACUCGGCCGUAUAGUCGAAUGUAUGUAAAGAAAGUACCCAGGGAGUAAACUCAUUUCCCAAACGAUUUUUUAAAUUAUUUUUUCACCACUUAAACGCAUGAGACUUGUAGUUUUUAAAAAUGUUUUCAUUUUUGAUGAAACGCUAAAUUAAAGAAGUUUAAUC